CACUUAGGAAUCUACCUAGUAGUGGGGGAGUAGCUCGGGGAACGUCGAUUAAUACCGCAUACGACCUACGGGAGAAGGGGCGAGUUUACUUGCUCUCGCUAUUAGAUGAGCCUAAGUCGGAUUAGCUAGAUGGUGGGGUAAAGGCCUACCAUGGCGACGAUCUGUAGCUGGUCUGAGAGGAUGAUCAGCCACACCGGGACUGAGACACGGCCCGGACUCCUACGGGAGGCAGCAGUGGGGAAUAUUGGACAAUGGGGCGAACCCUGAUCCAGCCAUGCCGCGUGUGUGAAGAAGGCCUUU
rnacentral:rRNA from 1 species